ensembl:lncRNA
CAAGUAUAGCUAGUAACUGCUUUAGUGCGCAGGACCAGCCCUCUCGAGAGGCUGUCUAAUAGAGGUCAGGUGACAUCAGGAAAGGUCUUGGUCCUUUUUGUACAGGGUUAUACUGGCCUCAGUCAUAGCAAGGCUGCAGCUCUUGAAAAUUGCUGAAGUGAACAUUAAUGAUUUUGUGGCUACAGGUGACAAAGUUUCCUUGACCACCAGUCUGUUGCCUGUUUCUGCUCUUCAUGUGAGUAAAAGUGGCUUCUUUACCUUUAAGAAAACAAGUGUUAAAUUUGUGCAAAUGCUGGGUUUUGGUGUCAUGUUUCCUAGUUGACUUCACUGUGGUGUCCAGCAUCCAUGGUUAGUGCUUUUCCUGCUUGGAGCCAAGUCGGGUGGUAAACUGGUAAUCUGCCCUCUGUGAGGGAGCGGCAGCCCAGCCAUUGUCCUCUGAAAAGCCUGCCCUUUCCCUCCUGCAGCUGCUAUUUGCAGAAGUCCUGCUCUUCUGAACUGAAGCUUACAGUCCACAGUCAGAUCUCAGCAACAGUUGGGCUUUGCUCCUCUGUCAAUCAAUCCGCAAUUAUUUAUUCUGCAGUUAUUCACUCGUCCCUAGGUCCAACCAUUUUUAAUUUUAACUUCUAGAUCAGAGCUUUCAUUUAUUGACAAAAUUUAUAAUAUCCUUUUACCAAGAAGUACAAGCCUGAAAAGUAAAUAGGCUAAAAAAUUUGUGUAAAAUUAUAAAGUCUAGGAAGAAAAAUAAAAGAAAUCCAGGAUUCAUAUGUGCCUGCAAGUUUAUAGAAUGUACCAUUUAUUUUCAGAAAAAAACUGGAAAUUUUUUAGGGGAAUAAAAAUAAGAAAUGGGGAAAAUGAUUUAAAAUGAAAAAGAGAACAUUUAUUAUUUAAAGACCAAACCAGGCUGCACUGAGCAGAUUUGGAUAAAUAUUACUUUGGACUGCUUAUAAGAGAUUCUGGGGUAAUGAAAUCAAAUAAUCAAGUCACUACCAGAAGGCAGCACCUAAGAAAUCCUACAGAGACAGGCAGUCAGUUCAUAUCCUAAGUAACCAUGGGGAUCCUGGUAGUUGCAUCUUCCUUUGUCCCUUAUUCACUUUGUCACCAACCAACCUCUUCAAGUCUUUUCUUCCUCUGUGAUUCCUGUGUUGCACUGGUUUGUACGGACAGGGGCAGGAGCGGGGCGACCCACACGUGCGUGGCUUUCACUUUCAUUCCUAGAAGCCUGCAGCAAAUUUAAGAAAGCAGAAUGCAGAGGAAGAUGCUAAGGCUAAAGUUGAAUGUGACAUUUUAUCUGGCAUAGAAAGGAGAUUGAUUAGACUCCACAAAGACUGGUGCUGUGUUAUACAACAGGGCUCCGUCCUACCUGGCCUUAAGCCUUCUCAUUCCCUAUUCAUUCUCCGUGUUGGUAUAGUGGGUCAGCUAAUGCUUGGGAGGAUGUCAGUGUGCAUGCUCAUGGUUACCACUGUGUGCCUUCCUAUCCUUCCCCUUCGUUACCUAGCACUGCAUAUUUCUAGUGCUCUGACUGGCAAAUCAUUUUGUAACAGCUCUUUUGUGUAAAAACAGUUCACAUAAUAGCUCAGUGUUAGACAAGGCAUUAAUCCUCACAUCACCAAGAUGAGUCAGCACGAGGCGAUGUACUUCUGCCCGCCUAGCUCAGCUAUUAUGACGUCAGUGCUUUAGGGCAAGCAUCAGGCACAAACUGUAUAGGAGACCUAUGUUACCUAGUAGAAAUCAAGUUGGGAGGCCUCUAAUUGAAAGGCUGUGUCGGCCUCGUAAGAAAAUGUGAAGCUAAUUCUGUGCUACAUCAGCAGAGCAGUUUCUGGAGAAUUUUUUUUUUUAAAGCAGAGUAAGGCUGGGAAAAAGAAAAACCUGUAACAAGCUAGUAGUCCCUUCAUGUACUCAUGACCUUGUCCCACCCCCAGUCAGGCUGUAUGCUUGCUUACUUGACUUGUUAGAAAUCCUCGAGUUGCCUUUAUGCCAGCAGGAUAACAGGGCCAGUAACAGUCCUGUGUCCUCAAGUGCCCCCACAGACACAGCUGAUGGCUCCAGGGGUGGUACUCUAGAGGCCGAUCAGAAGCAAAGGAAAAGUUCCUUGGGAACAAACCAGAACAUUAUCCCCCCCAGUGCCUCUCAUUCCCGAGUGCCUCCUCAAUGACCUCCUCUGGACAGGUGCAGAACUCAGCCUGUUUGACCUUCUGUCCUUGGCACUGCAUCCAGUGUCCGAAUCUGGAAUUGACCCAGAUUUAAAUAGGAGUUGAAUAGCUGCCACGAUUUCCUGCAAGAGUUUUCUGUCCCAUUAUUCUUCAGCAGAAACAGAAAGGAAAACUCCACAACCUACUAUGCUGCCUCAAAGCAGAUGACACAGAUAGCCCUGUUUGGGAAGCCCAGUUUGUGUCAGCGAGGCUUCUCUGAAAAUCAGACCCAGAUAUGAAGUUCUCUUGACAGUCCUUUACAAUAUUAAAAGUUAAUCAUCAGCGGGGUGAUAAUGUGAUACUGACAUUCUCUGUCAUUCUCUGUCAAAAAAAAAAUACUGCGUCACAGCCUCCAUGCCUCCCCGCCCCAGCUCACUCUCGCCCAAGCCGGUCACCAACCCCUGUGAUGACUACCGCAAAAUGCCUUAGUGCUGGAAUUUUCCACCUUCAUUAGAUUUCUAGUGGUCUCCUCCCAUGCUUCUAAGAGCCACUACUACUGCUUGGCUUGGUUUUGAUUAAUUAUGCACACUUCUUUAUUUAGUUUUCAGUCAACAAACGUUUAUAGAAAGCCUGUAACAGAGCUUGGUUCUGGGAACUCCAAGAUAAAUGAGAAAUGCCACCUUUCAUUAAGACUGGCACAGUCUGGGGUUGAGGGGACAGCUCAUGCUAGAGUACUUGUAGUAGAGCUCAGUGAAGUGGAGCAGGAGUGCAGGCCUGGGCUUGCCGCAUAGCAAUACAAAAAGAGAAAGAAGAAAGCCCUCAGUGUUCUAGGGAAGAUGACCAUGUGGGUAAAGGCUGUUUGUGAAAGGCACUGGAAUGCAGGUAUCUUCAAGUGCCUACCCAUACAGAAGGUUCAAGCUGACUCACGAACUGAAAAUAGUUACUAGGGGUUUACCAAGUGGGCACAGGAGGAGAGAAAGAAAAGGGUUCGUUGUCAGAGAAGACAAGAGCAUUUAAAGGUGAGGUGGCAUCAAGUAACAGCCAGAUCUAGCUACUGAGUUCUCUGGUGUGCUACAGUGUGCUAGACGGGAGUCAAGUGAAGGGGCCUCUGAUGCCAGGCAAAGGAGUUUAGAAUUGAUCUUGCACCCCUGCAGAUAUUUUAAAGAAACCUAAGGAAACUGCACGAGGCCUGAACUGUGCAGUGGGUGGAGACGAGAGGUCAUUUCAGAGUGCUGACUCAGGCAUUAAUAUUUGCGUAACUCAGGCAUAUCUUUGCCCUGCUGCACAAUGCUUGCCUUGCCCUCUAGGAGAAAUGCUGAUGUGAUUGUGGUGUCAAACUUAAAGCCAAACAUCCUGACAGGCGCCCCACUGAAGGCCUCAGUCGAACAUCGCACUGAGCUCCUCCUACUAGUCCUGAGAUACACAGGGUUCUUCUGCCCGCAGAGAGCAAGGGAUAAGAGGAAAGAGAAUAUAAGAGACAAAAGCAUUUUUAAAUAAUGGCUCUCUAAAGUCAAUCAAUCCCCGAUUUCCUGUCAUUUUUCCAUUGCUGCCUUUUUCUAAGCAAAAUUUCUAAGCCAUUGAACUGAAUUGCAACUUAUACACAGCCGGGUGUUGAAACAAUUCAGUAUAUUCACUCCUUCUCUCUGAAUUAGAGUUCACCAUAAGUGUGCUUUUCUCUCGUUCACUUUGGGCUGCCAGGACAAUUUAAAGGAGAAUUUCAGCAGCUUGUGUCUCACGUACCAUGUUCUCUUUGCAAACUGGAGUAUAUGCGUGGGUGUGUUUAAGUUGUCUCUAUAUUGCUUUCUAGAAAGGUUUGAGAAGAUGUACAAGAUGAAGAGUAGGGACCUAUUAAAAACCCAGAUCCCCCAGUGACCUGAGUGCAGAACGUAGGCUGGUGAUCAGAUGGUCAAUUAUGUGUUUGUCAAAACACAGUGGGCUGCAUUCCAGACUGCCAGCUUUGGAGGCCCAGCUUCUGCCAACCAAAUGUCAUCUGGGAACAUGCAACACUGGGCACUGUGAAGGAGUUUGAAAUAGACCAUGCCACAGCCAACCUACUGCCAGUCUUAUAGCACCAAUAUGGCGUGCACAGCCGGGCCCCACGUUUCAGAGCUCAGGAAUUCACUGUACUCCAUUCAAGGGGUCAGAUGGGUUCAUGUUUUCAAAGCCUAUGUUCCCUGGUUUGAACACUGCGACUUGUUCCUCAGCAAUUUCCAAGGGAUUUUUCCCGUCACAUCUCUGUGGAAACCUCUCUUUCUGUGGUGCUUAUGAGAGCCUUGUUAAAUGUCCCAGAGGAGAGGGGUAAAAACAAACCAGCUCUCACAAUGACUGUGACUCUUAUAAGGGAUUCCAAAUCUAAGGAAAUUACAUUAAAGGUGCAUAGCUUUUAAAAUAUCAGGAACCACCUUGGCAACUUAUAAAAAGCAGAAGGGCUUUGCCUAUUUUAUAAAGUGAUUUGCAUAUACCUGCAUAAAUAAUGUCCCCACCUGUACUUUUAUGCAUUUAGGUUGAAUAAAUUAAAUUCAGUGAUCUUUAAAAUAUUCUGUGUCUUUCAUUGCUCAGACACCAUUUCCAAGAGCCUCUGUCUUCACCCCGCCCUGCCCCGUGAUCGUAGUGCCUGUUUGUUCGUUCAUCUCUUGGCUAAUUCUGAGAACUAAAGUACACUGCACACCAGUCUACAACAACCAGAAACAGUAUCGUCCUCUGCUUGAACUUCUCUUUCCCUUGCUAUCAUGGGGCCACGUGUUACUUAUUUUCACAAGUCAGUGGAAGAGUAUACUAUUAAUGUGAAAGCAAAGCCCGAGAAGGGAUAAACACACAGUUCAGAGAUGUUAGCCUUACAGCAUGGUUAUAUUAGCCUUCCUUUCUUCCCUUCUCCCUUCUUUAGCUCCCAUGCUGUUUCUCUGUCUCUCAUAAGGUCUCAUUAUGUAGUACUGGGCUGCCGUAAUUGGAUUCAUCCUUGCUUUCCUUGGCCAUCGCCAUGAUCUUUCAGAAACUGCCUGUCUACCAACUCCUAUCAGUUAUAACGUGGGUCUUCACAUCCAAGCCUGCUCAGUAGAGCAGCCAUAGCCACAUUCACCUACAAGAUGCUCAGCAUGUGCUGCUGUUUGAGAACAAUCGUAUUUGAUGGAACUAAAAUGCACAGUUGUUGUGCUUGCUUGUAAUAAAGGAACUUGAGGUUGAGUUUAAAAAAGAAGUUAAAACUAUUGAGUGUUUUUUAUAUGCAUGUAAGACUAUAAAUGACUAAAUUCCAAAUGGAAUGCUAUAAUCCAGAAAGUUUUAUAGGUUUUAAUCUCAAAAUUGUGCCUUUUUAGCUGAAAUUUUUCAUGUAAAAUACGAUUUGACUGGAUCUUGAAAAAUGAAUAAAAUGUAAAAAGGAAAAAAAAGUAAGAUAAUGAUAUUUGAAGCAAAAACAUAACCUGAAUGUUGGAAUCUUGAAGUGGUCCUUAAGUAACACUGGCUUUCCUCAGUCAAGAUCUAAGACUUGAUCUUAGAAGGAGAGGAAGAUAAAAGGCCUAAGAAGUAACCCACCAGCUAAAAGCAUCAGUAGAGCAAGCUUUGCUGCCUACAUUCAAUCCCCAGAACCCAUAUACAGGCGCAGAACAGCACCUCCUCCACAGUCAUCCUCUCUCUCUCUCUCUCUCUCUCUCUCUAUCUAUCUCUCUCUAUCUAUCUAUCUCUCACUCUCUCGCUCUCUUGCUCUCUCGCUCUUCUCUCUCUCACACACACGCCAUAUACAUGUAUACAAUAGAAAUUAAUUAAUACACAAGUAAAAUUUCAAACAAUAAAAAUGGUAACAGAAAAUAAUUUUAUAACUGCUGGUUGGAAAGUGUAACAUAGUGGUUAAGUCAAAACGAGCUCUUGACCCUCAUGCCAUCACUUUAAACUUUUAAAAACAUGAGAAAAUAUAUGAAGAUAAGAAAGCACCUUGUCAAGUCACUAAUUUCACUAGUGUGAGUAGGAAAGAAAGAAGAAAGAUACUAAAAUCCUGCCCAUACACAGUUCGAUAUCCCGUUGGAUCCGGUUUGAAACGCAAACCAAGGACUAUCUUAUUAAUAGGAUGACUCAUCUCUGCAGAGCAGAAUAAAAAAUAAGGUAAGAAAGAGGCAAGACAGGGUUAGAAAACUAAUUUGAAAACUCGGUAUAAAGAAAGUACAUUCUUACUAACCCCCAGAAAGCCUGAAAAGUGGAGAAGUAAGGAAGAUAGAAACCUGAAACUAGAACCAGUAGGACAAGCAGAGUCCCAUUUGUCUAAGGGGAUACCCUGGGGUCACAAUCAGGAGCUCUACUGUUUGUCCCAGAUCUAUUGCUUGAGGGCUUUUCAGAGUCUCCACCUUGCUUCAGUUACUUGAAGGAAGCAAGCAAAAAUCAAGUUGAUUAACUAAGUAAAACCUAUUGGAAGAAAAAUACAAUGCUUGUAUCUCUGCUUAAACCAAUAAUAGCAGUAUUUCCUGAAUGGCUGCCUUGCUUUGGAUAGUGUGCUGUUUAAAUCAGUUAUCGGAUUUAACUUUUUAAAGCACACUAUUAAGAUAUGUUCUUACUAUAAUUGUACAAAUGAGGAAAACUGAGAUUUACCAAGUUUGAUUAAUUUUUCCACAAAUACUUAGUAAGUGUUAGAGAUAGAACUUGAAUUGGGACCAUCUGUUCUUAAAAUCCAAGGCCAAAUUUCAUUCAGCACAGGCAAGUGUCUACUAACAUUACAGAGAUAAUGGUGAUGAAAACAGACAUUGUCACUCCUGGACCUUACAAUCUGAGGGAUAUAGUGUAGAUAGUGAUUACAUGGUCAGACAGAUUAUACACUUUCAACCUGCGCUUACCUCAGGAGAGGAAAGUACCAGAUGCUCUAAGAGCAGCAUCUAAAGAGUGUGGAAAUUUCCAGACUCCUUCCUGAGGAAGCAGCAUCUGAUCUAGUAUCUGGAGAUACAAAGCAAGGAGUGAGGUUGGUAGUAGGAAGGAGUCCAGGAAGGGGACCCACACAUUUAAAGGCCCUAAAGAAGAGGGCGAAGAGAACAACCCAAUCUACAAAUGAAAAUGUACCCAGGGCUUGAUGAUCCUAGGUCCUUUGGAACCAUAUCAAAGAUUUUGAUCCUUUUAUAAAAAGGAUAUUUGGAAAACAAACUUAAGAAAGAGCAUGUUUUGAUUUCUUUUUAAUUUUAUUUUAGAAAGAUUUGGGACUUUUGAGAAUUAUAAAUACACUCAUGUAAAAAAAAGUUUGUAUAGCUAUUUUAUUGGUAAUUCUCCCCAAUAGGAAACCAUCCAAUCACCUUCAGUGGAUGAGUGCUUAAGCAAACUGUUGCACAUACAUAUGAGAUGCGUACAUCACUAAAACGGAAUGAGCAGCUUGAGUAAAUUUCAAGGAUAUUUCAUGAAGUAAAAUCUAAAAUGGCCAAUGUCAAGAUAGCAAACUAUUAUCUAUACACAGAACUCUCAUACUGACAACAUUAUAAUGCUGGAGAACAAAGUUGUGGUUCAUAGAGUCAGAAAAGGGAACAGGGUGAAUGCGGUCAUGGCCAUAAAAAAAAGUAGGAAGACAUUUGCAGUAGACGAGAGGUACCAACUCCAGGUCAUCGGUGUGUGGUGGUAAAAGAUGCUGUUGGGAUGAAUAAAAAAUGCCUAAAUGGAGGUCUUGAUUAAGAAGCACAAAACAAAAACUUAAGCAACUUUUACUGUUAGCUGGGAGAAAGAAUAAAAUCAGUAACAUACAUGUGGGGUAGGGAAGAACUGAAGCAGUUGUGGGAAAUCAGGAAACAUGAAAACAGAAGGCAAGGGAAGAGAGUUUCCCGAGAGAACAGGGAAGGGCAGGAUUGAAACCCAAGCAUUCAAUGAAUCCGUUUGUAGAUUACUGUUGACCUUAGCAAAACCCACUUGGUUGCAGUGGUAAAAAGGUAACUUGUUUGUGUUUAGAUGAGGAGCCUGAGCGGUGAAGACACACACUGCAAAUACGGGUCACUGUAAGGUGCCUUGCUGUGACAGCACGAAAAAUGAACUGUGUGCUGGCUUGAAGGUAGACACAAGUUAAAAGAAGUUGUUGAGAAGCAUUGGUGGUUCGCAUGCCUGUGGGAAGCCUACAGAUGAGAGGUGAGAUUAGUGCACAGGAGGGAGAGGAAGACACCAUAUUUAGUACUAGAUGGCUCUUUAUAAGACUAGAAUGUGAGCAUGGGGGGGGGGGGCACCUAUUAUUUGAAGGAAGAAGCAACAGCAGAUGCCAGCCCUUAUAUAGGUUUGAUGCUGACAAAUGAUGAGGUCUCCCACAUAAUGGCUCCUAAGGGGGUGAGAGCCUGCCAAGAGUAAGUGGUGAGGAGAGCUGAUAAACGUUGAGGUUUCAAGUAGUCCUGGGCACAAGGGGUUUGCAAGUUGACUAAAGCAGCACUUCCCUUGCAUGCAGAAGACACAGCUACAUCCCUUCUUCCCAACUUCCUCUCUACAGCCGGUCAUGAUGGGUGCCCGUGCUCAUGAGCACUUUACAGAUUCCAUUCUCUCUCCCAUCCGAUUAAAUAGGAAGAGUUCCUGUCACACACCACACUUCUAAUGUGCAUCACACGUGCAUAUACUUGCAUGACAAUGCUGAUUUCUCCUAUCACUUUACUAACAAUAUAUGAUCGAUUUUGAAUACGUAGGUAAACUACUUGAAGUGUGAUAAAAUGUGAAUUUUAUCUUAAGUUUUAAAAACUGGCAUCUACUGACACAAAAUGGCUAUUUAAGAGAGAGAGAGAGAAAGAGACUACAGAGAGGAAAGAGAAAAAGGAAGGAAAAUAGAGAGGGAAAGAAGAGAAAGAAAACCAGUGAACUGUAGAAGACCUGAUGCAAACCUCAUCUUUCUUUUUCAAGGGACCUCCCGAUUGAGAGAAAUAAACAAGGCUCUAUUGCUUACUGGUGAUCUACACUGGUGGCUUGAAUGAGAUGUCACCCAGAAGGCCAUAUAGAUGAAUGCUUAGUCAUCAGGGAGUGGCAUGGGUUAGGAGGUGUGGCCUAGUGGGGAAAGGUGUGCCCUUGGAAGAGGGGUGUCACCACAGGGGUGGGGCAGGACAUGGGCACUGAGGCUUCAAAAGCCCACACCAGACUCUGCCUGUGGGUCAGGGUGUAAAGUCUCAGCCACCUCUCCAGCACCUGGCUGUGUGCUACCAUGUUCUCGCACCAUGACAGUAAAGGACUAAACCUCUGAAAGUGUAAGCAAGCUUCAUGCCUUGGUCAUGAUGUCUCCCCCCAGUAAUAGAACAGUGACUAAAACAUGUACCUUCCACCUCCACAAAGGCUUCCAGACCUGGAGACAUACCAAGUACUGUAGGUCACUUGAGCUCCUGCUAGAAAUGUGAGAAGAUGCCCAGAGCAUCAGAGGGAAGGAAGGCUCCUGUACUCAUAGAUGCUGCGUGCUAUCUAACUCCCCUGGGGAAGAAGGAUAGCAACAGUGGCCUUUCCCGUCCUGCCAGUCUGCUGGCUCCCUUUAGAAAGUGGCAUUAGGACCAUUUGACUCAAAACUAAAUUGCAGAUACAUCUGGGGUAAAAUCUGGCAGCUGUGGAGUGAUGCAGCUGUAUUUUUUUUAAAUAUUUACUUCUUUCAUGAUUCUAUAAUUCACAUUUAUCAGAAAAUAUCAAAAAAGUAUAAUGUAAACAGAAAGCAUCCAUAACCUUGCUAUAUAGAAAAAAAGUUAUUAACAUAUUUUGGUCACCUUCUUGUCUCUGCUCUAGAUUUUAAGAUAAUAAAGCAGGUAGAAUGCAUAAUAUUCUGUAAUAUUAACUUGAUAGUAUAUGGUAAAUAUUCCCUUGUGUAAUUACAAACUCUUUGUAAUAUUGCCAUAAUACCUGAAUAAACUCCUACCUUAUGAAAUGCCCAGAAUUUAACCUAAUAAGGACCUGCAAAUAUAUAGGUUAUUUGUAGUAUUUAGAUUCCUAUAUUUUAAAAUCUGUAAAGUAAAACUAUGCUAUAUCUUAUCAAUCUGUGGAAAUAGAAAGUAGAAACCUGGAACAAGGGGUCAUGUCACAAACCAAGGGCAUAGUCAGGCAGUGUCACCUAUCAAGAAAGCAGUGUGGGUUCUGGAGAGAUGACUCAGUGGUUAAGUGCCCUGACUGCUCUUCCAGAAAGCCUGAGUUCAAUUCCCAGCAACCACAUGGUGGCUCACAACCAUCUGUAAUGGGAUCUGAUGCCCUCUUCUGGUGUGUCUGAAGACAGAGACAGUAUAGUCACAUACAUAAAAUAAAUUAAUUAAUCUUUUUUUAAAAAAAUGAAAAGAAAAGAAAGCGACUAUGAAGUGUGAGUGACUAGGAAAAUCAUACUGGAUUUGAGAGUAGUUGUAGGAUUUACCUGAACUUUUCUUCCCCUCAAAUUAGAUGCUUUAAAUUUUCAUUCUAAAAAUUAUGCACAUUUCAUUGUUUUUAAUACACUUGAUCUUAGCUCAAAGGCUAAAAAGACACAGGUGUUUUUACUAAUUUUACAGUAAAACUCUUUAAAAUCUCACACCCCAGAGACAAUCUCUAUAAAUACAUGGGAAAUAAAGUUUCAUGUAUAUCUAUUUAUCUGUUUCUCUCUCUCUCCUUUUUAUUUCUCCUUUGUCUCUUUCCAACAUGAAGGAAAAAGAGCUGUUUUGCAGUCUGUUUUUCCACUCGGCAUUGUAAGUCAUUUGCUAUGUUAAUAAAUACAGAUCUGUGUGAUCUUGACAGCAAUAUUGUACUCCAGUGUAUGGAAAACAAUCUGACUAAGUCGCUCAUUGAUGGACACUCGUGAUCAUUAGAGCUGUUUCCUUACUUUAAAAUACUGCUACAAUAGCUGUCUUUAUAUGCACACAUGCAUACAUAUUCUUUAACACGGUUUAUGGAUAAUUUUUGUAGGAUAAAUUUAAAGUCGAGAAAUUAUUAAAAUAAAAUGUGUAUGUCGCUGCAAUGUUCUGCAGUAAGAUUCAAUCAAUCUACACUUCCAUCAACAGAAAAGAUACUACCCCUUUCGCUGUGUCUUCAUUAAUUCUGUACUCGAAACUAUAAGUAAAGCAUGUUUUUUGCUAAAGGUAUGUAAUAUAUUUUCCAAGCAUAAAACCCAAACCUGGAUACUUUAAACUGCAUCAUAUGUGGAAGUAAAAAUUGUCAUAGAGAAUUUUUUUUGACCUAGAAAAUUAUUUCUGAGAAUUCUCUAAUACCUUAACAGUAACUAUAAAUCAACAACAAAAAUAUAAUUUUUUAAAUCAUUUUCAUUAAUAGAAUAUGUGC